GAGACGAUAACGACGCGUUGGAGGUCGAUAUCAGUUAAUGCAAUGGCAGGCCAAAGAUCUUGUGAGUUCUUUCUGUUUUGAUAUGUGCUUAAGUUUUAGCGUAGUCACAUUUAUCAUCCUAGUUUUAGAAUGAUGGUAAAUAGAAAAACGAAAAAGAAGCAAUCUCAGUUCCUUAAAUUAAGCAUCAAUUAGUAAAACUGCUUGUUGAGAUGUCUUACAGGUUAAUGUUCUAAUUCCACUAUUCACUGUCCA
rnacentral:misc_RNA from 1 species